rnacentral:rRNA from 1 species
UACGUAGGGUGCAAGCGCUAAUCGGAAUUACUGGGCGUAAAGUGUGCGCAGGCGGCCGCGCAAGUCGAGUGUGAAAUCCCCGAGCUUAACUUGGGAAUUGCGCUCGAAACUACGUGGCUGGAGUGUGGCAGAGGAAGGUGGAAUUCCACGUGUAGCGGUGAAAUGCGUAGAUAUGUGGAGGAACACCGAUGGCGAAGGCAGCCUUCUGGGCCAACACUGACGCUGAGGCACGAAAGCGUGGGGAUCAAACAGG